GACUGAUCCAAUAGAAUCCGAAAACAAUUGGCUUCUAAAUAUUGUUGAAAUUAAUUCCUUCAGAAAACUUAUCCACUUAUCGCUUCCCUUGCAAAGGGCCAAAGAUAUAGAAUUAACGGAUCAUCUCUUGUCCGUUAUGAAAAACAAAACUGAAGAAAAUAAAACCCUUGGACUAAAGUUAGAAGAACUACGUGAAGAGUCGUCAAG